rnacentral:tRNA from 16 species
AGAUACCUGAGUUGUAGAAGUACUACAUUUCCAAAUUGGAAGUCUCUGGUUCAAUUCCG